rnacentral:rRNA from 1 species
AUCGUAACUCCUACGGGAGGCAGCAGUGGGGAAUUUUGGACAAUGGGGGCAACCCUGAUCUAGCAAUGCCGCGUGAGUGAAGAAGGCCUUCGGGCUGUAAAGCUCUUUUGUCAGGGAAGAAACGGUAGUAGCUAAUAUCUAUUACUAAUGACGGUACCUGAAGAAUAAGCACCGGCUAACUACGUGCCAGCAGCCGCGGUAAUACGUAGGGUGCAAGCGUUAAUCGGAAUUACUGGGCGUAAAGCGUGCGCAGGCGGUUGUGUAAGUCAGAUGUGAAAUCCCCGGGCUCAACCUGGGAAUUGCAUUUGAGACUGCACGGCUAGAGUGUGUCAGAGGGGGGUAGAAUUCCACGUGUAGCAGUGAAAUGCGUAGAUAUGUGGAGGAAUACCGAUGGCGAAGGCAGCCCCCUGGGAAUGUACUGACGCUCAUGUGCGAAAGCGUGGGGAGCAAACAGGAUUAGAAACCCCGGUAGUCCUAGAGC